GUGCCACUUCAUAGCUAAUCAGUAAAUUCGUUCAAAAGAAUCAAAAACCCACACAGCUUUCAAUGCCCCUUGAAAAGUGACUGCACAACAUCCCGUCCGUGACUUACCAAGUCAUUAACAAACUCAUGAGAGAGAGAGAGAGAGAGAGAGAGAGAGAGAGAGACUGUGUGUGUGAUGCUGAUGCGAUUCUCCAGAUUCCUGGGUUCGAUCCGUUUCUCUCUCUCUCUAUAAAUACAUGCACUAGCGUAUGUAUGUAAGUAUAUAUUAUUAUUGUAUAUAAUGUUGCUGUGAGAUCUCCCGUUUCUGAGAUCUACGGGUGGUGGUUGACAUGGAUUUGUUUUAUUAUUAUUAUUUUUUCAUAAAAAUAAUUACUUGGUGGGGUGGGAAUGCACUGGAGGCAGCGGUUCAUCGAUCUGUUUAUGAGAUUUUGUUGUGAGUAAACACAGUACAUGAAUCGGUCGAUAAACCUCUGCAUCCAGCGCUCACUGUCUCAUUCUUCUCUUUAUUUAUUUUUUAUUUUUGCUGGUAUUUCUGAACUUGCUCUGUUUGGUUGCUGAUAAAGUGUGGGAAAAUAUGGUAAAGAUUGAAGUUUUGGUGUUUUUCCGAACUUCUGAUCGGAACCCAGAAGGCAAAAAGCUUGUUCAUUUUUUUUAGAAGGUGGUCUAAAAGUUUGAACUUGUUUCUUUCUCUUCUAAUGGAAAAAAAAAAAGUGCCUUCUGAAAGAGAGCUUGCAAUUGGAAAACACAACGUCGUCGUCGUGACUGCAUGUAUCUGCAUGUAAGUGAGAGGAAACUGCAGUUCUGUGGAAGUACCAAGUUGCCAGAGAAUCUUCUAUGUUUGAUGUUUACCUGUAGAAUCUGGUAUCAAAUUCCUUGUGCCAAAGUUAUCGGAUUGUGGAAAUUUUGGUUGGAGUAUAGGGUAGGACAAUGUUAUUAACCUCUAUACAUUCUCUUCAGUUCCCUCUUCUCUGAGUUGAGAUCCUCUUCGGACCUCACUGUGGAGUCUAAGGACUAGCAAAUCCGGAAUGUUCAAGAGUGAGAUUUGGGCCUUGGUUUGUGAAAGGUGCCCUAGUAGAAUAAGUUAAUGAGAACUGUCAGAUUCAAUUUGAGUGGUUCGGAUUUCCUGAUCAUUGGGCUUCGAACAAUAAGAUCAGGAGAAGAUCUCAACCUCUUCUCUAAUUCUAUUGGAAUUCUUAUGAAAAUUUGUAAGUUUGUCUUCCUUUGCCAUUUUUGUAUACAUUUAGGAAAUAAUUAAUCUGAUAUGAGCAAUUGUUCUUGGUUAAUAGCA